rnacentral:siRNA from 1 species
CUGUACAGUGAUCUACAUCCGUA